GGGCCGUUAGCUCAGUCGGCAGAGCGUGGUGCUAAUAACGCUAAGGUCAUGGGUUCGAGCCCCAUACGGACCA
rfam:Nematostella vectensis strain CH2 x CH6 NEMVEscaffold_217_Cont19323, whole genome shotgun sequence.